UGGCACAUAGUUCAGUUUGUAGAACACCUGACUGUUAAUCAGGAAGUCGUAGGUUCAAGUCCUACUGUGUCAG
rnacentral:tRNA from 1 species